rnacentral:rRNA from 1 species
AACGAACGCUGGCGGCAGGCUUAACACAUGCAAGUCGAGCGCCCCGCAAGGGGAGCGGCAGACGGGUGAGUAACGCGUGGGAAUCUACCCAUCUCUACGGAAUAACGCAUGGAAACGUGUGCUAAUACCGUAUACGUCCUUCGGGAGAAAGAUUUAUCGGAGAUGGAUGAGCCCGCGUUGGAUUAGCUAGUUGGUGGGGUAAAGGCAUACCAAGGCGACGAUCCAUAGCUGGUCUGAGAGGAUGAUCAGCCACACUGGGACUGAGACACGGCCCGUGCUCCUGCGGGAGGCAGCAGUGGGGAAUGUUGGACAAUGGGCGCAAGCCUGAUCCAGCCAUGCCGCGUGAGUGAUGAAGGCCCUAGGGUUGUAAAGCUCCUUCACCGGUGAAGAUAAUGACGGUAACCGGAGAAGAAGCCCCGGCUAACUUCGUGCCAGCCGCCGCCGUAACAC